GCUGAUGUUGUUUCUGAUGUAAAGAACUCCUGGAUCAGAAAGUUAGUUGGGUUCACUGUGCUGAAGCCCACAGAGAGAUAUGGGCAUGUGCUCUGUGGAUGGAUCGCAGGACGGGAGUCUGAGUACAUGGAAACUCUGUCUGAACAUGAAGUUCUGCACAGUGCCACACAGCUCCUGCGCAUAUUUACUGGAAAUCCAACUAUUACACCAAGGAAGCUUUUAA